rnacentral:misc_RNA from 1 species
CUUCUUCCUCUCACUAAAACUACUGCAAGAAAUCAAGCUUGGGAGGCAACAUUGCAUAGACUUGAUUGAUUUCUCUCUCUCAAUUAACGCAUCUCCAUUAGUAGUCCUUUCACUACUACAGACACUGUUAGUUCCAGAGAAAUAAGGUGUACCAGAGGCAGAUUUCGGAAGAACAUCAAGAAUAGUUGGCUUGACUUCCAUCUUCCCAUUGGCAGUAUUCUGCUUGCCAGACGUUUGUCGGUCAUCGGCUUCUGGUUCUUCUCUCAAACUCUCUUGGAAUAGUUCAUAUAGUCUCUUCUUUUUCCCUGUUGGGGAUGGUUCAAGGAUAGAAUCAGGAUGUCCGUCUUCCAAAGGAGUUUUGUUGAUCUUGGGAGUCCCUGUGGAAAAGCUAUGAUGAACUGGGGUACUGCCACGUGAUGGGGUAAAUUCACCAUUGACACUGAAGAAAUCAUCCUCACAAUCUGAUUCUAACCAAGGUUGGGAAUCAAAAAAGGUUUCGUCUUUGCUGCCAUAAUCCUCAAAAGUCUUGAUCGGAGUGUCACCAUUGACAUGUUUAUCCUUGAUAGGUGAUUCUGGAAUCCCAAGAUUGUCUGUUCUGGACCCAAACGACACUCCUAGUUUCAUCGCCGAUUCUGGGGUACCCUUGUGGACAGAAACACAAGAACCCAUAUUUUCUUUGUGCGUCUAAAGAACUACCACCACAACCACAGCCAGAGCCAAGUCUACCAGACUGACCACCACAGAUAUUGAUGAAUAGAAGAAAGUAAAACUAAAACAGCAUUUACUUCAUAGAUAGAGAGAGAAGAAGCGUUAUUUUUGGCGUUUUUGUCAAGGAGUAGAAAC